GGGCAACCUCCUUCAGUUGGUGGGAAGCGGUGGGAGGAGGAGGAGCUCCAUCUGUGCUCUCUUCUCCGCAGUCACAACUCUCAGGCUUGUUGCAUCUAGACCCAUUCUAAAUAAACCAAGCAGAUUCCCAAGGGACCCUUGCAGACAAGUCAGCUCAGGGGAGGCGGCUGAGGCGGGGUGCGGGCUGCUAGUGGGGUGCAGCCCCAUAGCCGGGGCUGGCCCUGCCAGCGUGCCUUUCCUGGGAAGAGGUGGAAGUGCUGAGCUCUGCAGACUUGGAAGCAAGGGAAGGCCCAAGCUGCUGGAGAGGAGCCGGGCUACCCCAUGGGGAUAGCCCACGCUGAGCUAUUGCUUGGGCACCAACGCCAGCCUCAAGCGGGGCCAGCGCAGGAGGUCUGGGGAGCUGUCCUGCAGCGCUGACAUCUAUGAGGCAGCGUCAAGCAAAGGUGUAGGCCAAGGCAGAGAGGAGCGGAGGCGCCGCAGAUGGAACAUGCUGCUCCCUGAUGCCAGCCCCAAGCAAAGCCAGCGCAGGGUGCUGUGGGCGGAACCGCCCUGCAGCUAUAACCUCACGGAGGCAGAGGUGGCAGUAAAAAAAAAAAAAAAUCCCCACACCCCACUGCUGUGGAGCCUGCCCAGUCGGAUUUCGGAGCCCGCGAGGGCCAUGACCUGCAACACAUCAGUGACCAGGAGAUGCCCAAAAGUAAGGAGGCGACUGAUAGUGUUUGCCCUCAGAUUUUGCUUCUGACUGUCCAGGGGAAAGCACACUCUUCCUGAGAAAAUAUCAAAUGAGUGUGCAAGAAAAGAGGAGCAGCUCUCACCUAUAUUAUAAACAACUGCUAGAUCUCCUCCCUACCCUGUCUUUCAUGUACUUGUGGGAGACCCUGAUGGAAGAGUGUGAUAACAUGAUGCAGACAAGCAUAUCCCAAUAGGAAGAAGGAAGGCUCAUAUACCUCCAUGGCAUCUUGAUAGAAAAUACGGCUCAUGUUCCACCAUAUUGCUAGAUAACAGCACAGCCAGCCAGCCUGACCUUAGACAUACAUUAGAAAGUGUGGCUUUGGCAAUAUAUUACAACAUAAAGCACAGAUAUGCAAAUAGAUCUCUGGCUAUUUUUGAAGAGCCAGUACAUCCACUUCCACAAGAGAAGCUUCCAGGGAAAUCCUUCAAGCAUGAUCCCAAACGCAACUGUAUUUUCAGACAUUUCUGUACUCUUUUUCAAGUCAUAAAACUAACAGCUCCAUGUGCAAUUGUAGCUUUGGUAUACAUCAAACGACUUCUAACUAGUGCUAACAUCGAUCUUUGUCCUACUAAUUGGAAGAAGAUUGUCCUUGGAACCAUGCUUCUUGCCUCCAAGGUUUGGAGAAAUCAUGGUCUGUGGAGUGUGGAUGACAGCCAGAAUUCCAAGGACACUGCAGUUGAGAACAUGAGCAAGAUGGAGAAGUGUUUCUUGGAGCUACUUGAGUUUAAUAUUCAUGUGUCUGCCAGUGUUUAUGCAAAAUAUUACUUUGACCUGUGUGCCUUGGCAAAUGACCAUGACCUGUAUUUUCUAUUUAGCUUUCUUCACAAAGAUAAAGCCCAGAAACUGGAGGCUAUGUCACGGCUGUGUGAAUACAAAGACUUGCAUCAAGAUGCCGCUGCUUUGAAAAGGGUUAUCAGCAUGAAUUUCAUUGGUAUUGGGUGCUCUAAUGCCAUCUUAUCUUAAAGAGAAAAAUUGGCCUUAUAAGACCCUGAACUUCUCAACUGUAAAGACUAGAAAAUAUCACUUCUGCUGAAAGAAACAACAAUAUUAGGAUUUUCUUUUUUUCUUCUUUGUUUUAUUUGUUAUUUUUUUGUUUGUUUGUUUGUUUAGGAUUUUCAUCAAGAGGAAGUAUCUUCAAGUUAGCCACAUUGUGGAACUGGGUGAUGGUGGGAUGAACAGUGGGUGCCAGGUGCUUCCUGCCCUUCCUCUUUCACUGGGUCCAGAUGGCAUUCCUAGGGCACCACCUUCUUGAACAACUCUUGGAGAGAAGGAGUGUCACAUGGACACAGCACAUCCCAGCUCAGAGUCCAGUCACCCAGUCUCAAGCAGGUGCCAGUGGUGUCCACAGUCACCCACAGUCCCUAGCAGGUGACAGUGGUCUGAGCUGAGCUGGAGCUAAAAAAACUUUAGAAUUGGCUCCAGAUUUGUGAGAGCACCUGGGUUUGGUUCUCUGUCCACUGAGGCACUGAAUGCAUGAUGGCCCAAAACUCAACAAUGUUGGGAAGAGAGAGUGGCAUUGGGGCAAGACUGUCGUUACUCCAAGCACCAGGGUGGCUCAGGUCUGCUCAUCUAGUCUUCGGAGGGAAUCUGUGCAUGUGAAAUGAGGCCCCCACGUCAUGGUUAUAAAGGAAGAGAUGAAAUCAGCUCAUCUUCUCCCAGGCUGAUAAUGGUCACUCCACCUAGGGAAGCAGUAAAAGACCUGGCCUUGGGAUUGUUAGGGGAGCUACAGAAGUGAAAACUGAAUUUACCCAGUUCCGGGAAAACAACAAAGGAGGAGCAUCUGGGUUCAAAACCUUAUCAGAAGAUCAUUUUCCCAGCUAAUCUUGCCCCGAUGCAUUGUAUGGUCUCAGCGCUUAUCAACAAAACAAAAGCCUGUCUAUAAUUCUAACACUGGGACACACCGCACCUCACAUUUUCCAGUGCACUGCAGUGGUUCAAGAGAUUGCUGGUGCUGCCUGCAUCUGUCUGUUUGCAUAUGGAGAGGAGCUGAGGUUCUCACGGGAGCGGCUUCUGCAUCCUGAGGAAGUUUACUCACGCAGUUCUGGUUGUAAUAACUGGUGGCAGCUACUGACAUGCAGUCAACAAUGGGACUCCUAUGGUGCACAGGACUGCCCCCCUUGUCAAUCAAGAAAUAAUUUUCUGGCUUCCAAAAUAGAAGGUGCUGAGGAGCAACUGCCUCAGAGUCUACAAGGGAACCACUUUCUGAGACUUUCUUUUCUCUUACAAGAACACCAGAUCCCCACCAAUGUGAGAUGUUAGAUCAAGUUUUUGUGCAAGGGUGGAUGUAGGGGGCAGAAUCCUAAGAUGCCCCAUGAUCUCUGCUGUCUUUUGUUACACCUGAAUCCUCAUCUUUUCUUGGGUAUGGCCAGACCUGUGCCUUGUUCUAGACAUUUGAAUAUGGCAAAGUGAGGGAGUGGCUCUCUGCGAGUUACCUUUCCUUUCCUUUUAUCGGGAACUAUAGGAAUCCCUAUUUUCUUUCUUGCGUUUACUUUCACAGUGCAGUGGUUUGGAAUAUCCCACCGUCAAUUUGCGAUUUCCUCCUCCAACCAUAAUCUAUGGCCCUUUAUAUGUAAUUGAAUGUUUUCAUGUAUUGAUAUUUUGUCUGAAGAUAAAAUAUUAGACUAAACAUGUUAAAACAUUUCAUGCAAAACCUUCAGUGGUUGUAAAGUCUACUCUGGUGAAUACACAAAUUUAUCUAUUUUAUAUAUUAAAAAUUAUAUUAGUUGUGAUAAUAUUUUCUUUUUUAUCUUCACUUGUUAGAUAUAGUUACUUAAGUUUUUCCAAAAUUAAUGAUAUUGUAUCUUAUAUUUGAUUUAAAAUACUACUAGGAUAUUUGGAUUGAUCGUUGAAAAUAAAUGGCAAAAUAAGAAUUGCUGAAACCUAGUGAUAAUGUACUUAGGAUGGGUUUAUUAUCUAUUAUCUGUAUCUUUGUUAAAUGUUUACAUUUCCAUGAAAACCUAUACCUAACAACUUAAAAUUUUGUGUAAAAUCCUUCGUGCCCUGCACUUAGGCUCCACUGCAUAAUGAAUAAAAG